CUCCGUAUUUGAUUGUUUACAUAUCGAGAUGUGUCCGUGUGUCCGUAUUCGUAUACAUGUAUGUAAUAACACAAUAAUGCAUACACAACGUUCAACUUUCUUAUUCAAUACUUUAAUUGAUACGAAUAACCAUUAUGUAUGAUAUGCUAGUUGUAUUUAAGGCGAUAAUAAUUUUUUUUUCCACUGAAGAUAUUAGUUUUGUAUAUACUUCUAUAAUUUUGUUGUUGUUGGGUUUAUGUUUCAUUAGCUUUAACAAAAAAUUAUAUGAAAGAAAAAAUAUAUUCCGAAUUUAAGUUUUAGAUGUUUUUAUAACAAAAUAAAUACGUUUCAAAAACGCCAUAAUGCAAAAAACGGUUACAUGUAAUGGUGAACGUCAAAAACGUCAAAUAAGCGACGUUGUGACAUUUUGGUAGACCACCAUGUGACCACUGUAAUUUGAUAAUUUGUACAUUAAUCUUUAUCCUAUUUAUAUUGAAAUGUUCCUUCGGUUUGAGAAUUUUCGAUUAUCGCUUAAAUUUUCUUCUUAAUUAUACAGUUUUCACUUAUUUCUAAAGAUUUUUAACAACUUGUUUUUAGUAUUUUAGAAAAAAAAUGAAGAUGCCAUUUUUGUGACAUUUUGGUAGACACCCUUCCAACGCAUUAGUAAUCGAAAUAAAUUGACAAAAUUAUAAAUAAAUGCAUACUACCGUUUCGUUUCUAUUAGGAAUUUAUCAUAUUGGCUUCAUUUCUCCGUUUUAAAAUGCACGAUCCUUUUUUUCUU
rnacentral:lncRNA from 1 species